rnacentral:rRNA from 1 species
CACAGGUGGGAUUGCGUUUUAAAUAUUGAAUAGGCAUUAAGUGUGAUUAGGUGGCGAAUACUACGCUAGAGUCCUAAGAGGAGAGUUAGAGGAAUAACCAAAUGAAGGAUGAAUCUAUAGAUAUUGGUUGGAACAUCGAUAGCGACAGCAUCACUCUAUUUUAGGACUGACACUGAAUCACUAAAGUGUGGGGAGCAAAACGG